rnacentral:rRNA from 1 species
AACGAACGCUGGCGGCAGGCUUCAUACAUGCAAGUCGCGCGAUUAAAGCCCCUUCGGGGGUAUAUAAAGCGGCGAACGGGUGAGUAACAGGUGGAUAAUCUGCCUUUCGGUGGGGGAUAACGGCUGGAAACGGCCGCUAAUACCGCAUGUGGUUGCCGGGGCGCAGGCCUUGGCAAAGAAAGGGGCUUCACGGCCCUGCCGAAAGAUGAGUCCGCCCCCCAUUAGCUAGUUGGUGAGAUAAUAGCCCACCAAGGCUUCGAUGGGUAGCCGAGCUGAGAGGUUGAUCGGCCACACUGGGACUGAGAUACGGCCCAGACACCUACGGGUGGCUG